UUGAUGAUGGUGAUGUACAGAUGUGUUUUUGGUGUGGAUGUCCUUUCUGUUAGUUUUCCUUCUAACAGACAGGACUCUCAGCUGCAGGUCUGUUGGAAUACCCUGCUGUGUGAGGUGUCAGUGUGCCCCUGCUGGGGGGUGCCUCCCAGUUAGGCUGCUCAGGGGUCAGGGACCCACUUGAGGAGGCAGUCUGCCCGUUCUCAGAUCUCCAGCUGCGUGCUGGGAGAACCCCUGCUCUCUUCAAAGCUGUCAGACAGGGACAUUUAAGUCUGCAGAGGUUACUGCUGUCUUUUUGUUUGUCUGUGCCCUGCCCGCAGAGGUGGAGCCUACAGAGGCAGGCAGGCCUCCUUGAGCUGUGGUGGGCUCCGCCCAGUUGGAGCUUCCCGGCUGCUUUGUUUACCUAAGCAAGCCUGGGCAAUGGCGGGCGCCCCUCCCCCAGCCUUGCUGCUGCCUUGCACUUUGAUCUCAGACUGCUGUGCUAGCAAUCAGGGAGACUCCAUGGGCGUAGGACCCUCCAAGCCAUGUGUGGGAUAUAAUCUCGUGGUGUGCCGUUUUUUAAGCCCUUCGGAAAAGUGCAGUAUUCGGGUGGGAGUGACCUGAUUUUACAGAUGCCGUCCGUCACCCCUUUCUUUGAUUUGGAAAGGGAACUCCCUGACCCCUUGCACUUCCCAAGUGAGGUAAUGCCUCGCCCUGCUUCGGCUCACGCACGGUGCGCGCACCCACUGACCUGCACCCACUGUCUGGCGAGAUGAACCCGGUACCUCAGAUGGAAAUGCAGAAAUCACCGUCUUCUGCGUCGCUCACGCUGGGAGCUGUAGACCGGAGCUGUUCCUAUUCGGCCAUCUUGGCUCCUCUCCUCAGCGGAAUCUAGUUUGUUCCCAAGUUACCAUAUCUCAGAGGCAUAUAAUGCUGUCCAAUUCUCUUGAAAACAAAAAUAAUUCAAGCUCCAAUAAUAAAGAUUUUUCUGCUUUGUUCUUCUGAGUCCCUUGUGCUGAGAAAACUCAUCUAGCAUAUGGAUCCCAUAUUAACAUUUAGUCAUCAUCUUUGCUUAGCACCCUAUUGACUGUGCCAGCUUCUCAGACUUUCCUUGUUUUUAAUGUCCUUCACAGUCCGGAGGAAUACUGGUAUAAAGCCAUCUUCCCUUUCAAGACUCACAUCUCUAGGGACAGAUAAUUAACAUUACUACAAGCUGCCAUCAAGUGCUGAUACAGACUAUGCACAUUGCCACUUAUCUGUGGAGCAGCCAUGCCUCCAAUUUCUUAAGGUACUUCCAGGUCUACUCGGUCAGCUUCUCCAACCCUGGGCGAGGAGUUUGGCUCCGUGGUGAAGGAUGUCAUUGUCACCUUCAAGUCACUUACAUCUCAGAAGUUGGAUACCCAAAGAUGAUGGAGUCUCACUUUAUUGCACAGGCUGGCAUGCAAUAGUGCGAUCUCAGCUCACUGCAACCUCUGCCUCCUGGGUUCAAGCGAUUCUCCAGCCUCAGCCUCAUGAGUAGCUGGGAUUAGAAGCAUGCACCACCACGCCAGGCUAAUUUUUGUAUUUUUAGUAGAGACAGCGUUUCAAUAUGUUGGCCAGGCUGUUCUCAAACUCCUGACCUCUUGAUCCACCUGCCUCAGCCUCCUGAACUGCUGGGAUUACAGGCAUGAGCCACCGCGCCCAGCCAAAUAAGGGAAUUUGUAAGUAAUUAUUGAGAAAACAUUCUAUCAUGUAAUUAAUAGGAAAUACCAUUAAAGUAAACUAAAAUUAAGUGUUUACGUAGGCAUGAUGACUCUGCUGAUUUAUAACAGAACUCAGAUUUCCUAUUUUCCUAAUUUUUCUGACAUUCACACAUCAAAUUUGAUAUCUCUUAAUUCAGUUCAUCUGUAGUCAAAAUUAAGUAUCUUUAGUUUUCUCUUUAAGUCUUUUAGAUCUUUUAGAUCUUUACUAUCUGAAUGUAGGUAUUAUCAUUAACAGUCCCUGCUCUAAUUGUCACUAAUAUCUGAGAAAUAUUAAGGACAUAUUUUGACUAGCAGCAAAAACAUUUUUAUGUUGUCUGUGGUAAGUUCUCCUUUUAUAAAACAAUAUUUAAAGAUAAACAACAUGCUGUUUUUAAAGAAGUAAUUGUCACUAUGCCAAAGAGCCAGCUGGAAAGGAAGAUAAUCACAAAUGAUUAUGACCAUUAUAAUAAUUUGCUUUCUAGAGAAUUAAUUAAAAUGAAAAUACCAAUAUAAUAGUAUUAAAAUUCCUCAUAAGGCUUCAUACCCCACCACUAUCACAUACUAUGAUGUUUUCCUUUUUAGAUGUCAUUCUAAUACUUACCAGUAUAUAUCAUUUAUGGCCCUAAUAUCUACACUUAUUUGUAAUGACAUUAUAUUAUUUUUGUGGGGCAAAUUCAAAAGGUAUUUAAUAAUGUGAUUCCUCUACUACUUACUUCUUCUCUUCCUCUAUCCUUUAAAUGUUAGAUAAUGUAAAGCCUAUUUAAAUGUAAAGGGGGCAUAUAGACAUUCUACUCGAAGAAACUUAUAGAUGAAAAUGCUGGAAGUAUUGAGAAUAGGAAUGUAUAUAGAAGGAGAUGAAAGAAAUAAUUUAAAAU
rnacentral:lncRNA from 1 species